rnacentral:rRNA from 1 species
GAUGAACGCUAGCGGCAGGCCUAAUACAUGCAAGUCGAGGGGUAAAUAUGUAGCAAUAUAUAUGAGACCGGCGCACGGGUGCGUAACACGUAUGCAACCUACCUUUUACUGGGGAAUAGCUCAGAGAAAUCUGAAUUAAUACCCCAUAACACUGCAGAAUGGCAUCAUUUUGCAUUUAAAGCUCCGGCGGUAAAAGAUGGGCAUGCGGAACAUUAGCUAGUUGGUGAGGUAAUGGCUCACCAAGGCUACGAUGUUUAGGGGGUCUGAGAGGAUGGUCCCCCACACUGGUACUGAGACACGGACCAGACUCCUACGGGAGGCAGCAGUAGGGAAUAUUGGGCAAUGGACGAAAGUCUGACCCAGCCAUGCCGCGUGCAGGAUGAAUGUCCUAUGGAUUGUAAACUGCUUUUAUAUGGGAAGAAAGCCUGCUACGUGUAGUGGUUUGCCGGUACCCUGGGAAUAAGCAUCGGCUAACUCCGUGCCAGCCGCCGCAGUAAAAC